CAGGAGAACCGUGAAAAGAAAGUUGUAAAGGAAGAGUUGCAACAGGACGAGCAGACAGUCAAGGACAAGAUAUCGGAGGCUUCUAUGGAUGAGAAUGGUGUGAAGGAGGGAAAGGAAGAGAUGGCUUCUGCUGAGGAGAACGGCGAAGAAGAGACAACUGAAAAACAAAUACCCGCAAGAAAGCGCAGGAGGGAUACUGUUGCUGACCGCUCUUCUCUUGAGCCUCGGGCCACCCGACCUAGGCAGAGGUUGACUGCUCCG